rnacentral:misc_RNA from 1 species
GAUGAAGAACGUAGCGAAAUGCGAUAAGUAAUGUGAAUUGCAGAUUUCAGUGAAUCAUCGAAUCUUUGAACGCACAUUGCGCCCGCUGGUAUUCCGGCGGGCAUGCCUGUUCGAGCGUCAUUUCAACCCUCAAGCUCUCCGGAGUUUGGUGUUGGGGCGCCUGGGGCUUUUCGACCUCAGGGCCCUCAAGUCCAUCGGCGGGACCGCCAGGACACUGAGCGCAGUAGUAUUAUUUCGCUCGGUAGGAUCUUCCACGGCGGGUCGAUCUGGCCGCUAAACCCCCCAAUUCUCACCAAAGGUUGACCUCGGAUCAGGUAGGAAUACCCGCUGAACUUAAGCAUAUCAAUAAGCGGAGGA